AUCUUAUAUUAUGCAGCGGAGUACCACCAAAGGUGCCCUCUGACCAAAACCAAAACCAAAACAGGCAAAAGAAAAAGAAACAUGUGGAAGAUAAGCGUAGGCAACAGAAAUCAUGAUACUAGAUGUAGAUUCGGUUAGACUUGUACAAAAAUCCUGAUCUUCUGAACCUAGUCCUUCACAGCACAGCAUGCCUUAUGUGGCUACACUACACAUUUUCUUGGGCUCGGCCAAAGAGCAGAAUAAUGGAAGUCAAGCCAUGCAAGGCCUGCCAGUGCCUAUUAUAAUUUUACAGCAGGCUGAAUCAAACCAAAUAAGCUCCUAAUGUUUAUAGAGUGAGUCAGAAAGAACUCUAAUGGCACAUCUCAGAUCACUAGAGGUGCUGGUGUUCAAUGGCCUUUGUGUAUCAGGUAUCAGGUAUCAGGUAUCAGGUUCAAUGGCACAUCAGUGUAUCAGGUAUCAGGUUCAAUGGCACAUCAGUGUAUCAGGUGUCCAGUGGCACAUCUUAGAUCAAACAUUGUCCUCAAAAGAACAAUUGUGGGAUGAUUGGAUGGUUACACAUUAACCCAAGGCUGUAAGAGGUGUGUGAGUAGUAAACAUUCCUCUACAAAUAUUGAAGCAUGAAGGAUGAUUCCAUUUCUCUACAUUCUUGUAUUCCUUACCUCAAUACUUCUGCAUGGGCACUAAUUUGGUUGAUUUGUGCAGGUGAAAUCAGUGGUUAGGUGUCGAGCUGCACUGAUAUGGAUGCCCCUCUUGGUCAAGAGGUUAGAGGUGGUACGUAGCCUAGCCGUGGGACAUGAUGCCUCCAGCCAUUUGCAAGAUAGCUGUAGGGCUGAGUGCACCAGAUUGGGUAAUCUCCUGAAUGUAACUAGGGCUACAGUUUAGCUUGAUUCCAUGUGUUUGAUUCCAAUAAGCCUCCUAUGGCAAUAUUUAUUGCUCCUUCUUGGAAAGCAUCAUUUUGCCUUCAUGUGGCAAAAAGUUAGGAUAAACAAAUAGAAAUGUUUGUGUUAGAGUUGUGUCGAAUAUUGAUGUACGAGUUGGGUUACAUAUGGACUUGGUGUUGUAGUGUGGGUAGGAUACAUGUAGUGUCGUAGUCGGACACGUCGUACCGUUGGCCUCUUAUAUAUGAGGAGGCACCCCAUGUUGUAACCUAAGAAACGACUAGAUAGCGACAGGCUCGCAAGGGGGAGCCGGCGGCUUGUGCCAGCGCCCGGGUGGCCGGUGUUGCGGUAUCUCGGGGAGGAGCGCCCGUAGUCAUUGCCCCGGGGAGUAGGCGAGUUCGCCGAACCUCGUUAACAAAUCUCGGUGUCGUCAUUAUGCUGUGAUUGCUUGUUCCUCGGUAGAUCGACCGCGUACCUCGGAUUUAUUCUAACAAGUGGUAUCAUGAGCAAGGUUCGAAGAGGCCGUGGUUAUUGAUCUAGAGGUGGAGUAGAAUUCGUCAAGAUGGAUCACUCGUGGUGGAUGCUUGGCGAGGAAAUUCUACGCUGGUUAUCGGAAGUACGAGCAGCAGAUCGAUCUAAUACUGGACUAUGUCAUGGUUGUGUCGUACAGCGGCUUGACUGGCCGUGCAGCCCGAGGGUCUGGUGCGUGUGAUCCAAGGCUAGGUGGCCUGGUGCGGCCUUAUCGCCGGUUGCCCAAGCUGGCGUGGAGGCCGAUCCAGCUGGAGAACGGACAAGGCUGCAUGCAGGAAGGACCGAGAACGGACAAGGCUGCAUGCAGGAGGACUCGAGGACCGAGUCCUGGCAGGGCUGCAUGCAGGAGGCCGAGUCCUCGUACAAGGCUGCAUGCAGGAGGCCGAGUCCUGGUCAGCUCGUCCGAUAGGAGAUUUGUUUUGCAAGAAAAGGGGACCGAGUCCCAGGUGAACUCAUG
rnacentral:lncRNA from 1 species